AGCACUUCCCCAACCCCAUCCCUGCCGCAGGCUUGGCUUGCAGCCCCCCGAGUUCCUCUCCUCCCAGGCCUGGAGGACUCCCCACAUCUCCCCGCAGCCCCAGGCGAGAGAGGUAUUUCUACACAGCAACAGCGGCAGAUCCUGGCAGGGACAUCCCAGAGUGACCUCACCAGCGCGCUUCCAGUUCGGAGCAUCAAAGGGGAAAUGGCUAGGCGAAAGUUGGACCUGUCUCCUUUCUUGAAGAUUGUCACGAUGAUGGCAUCCCUAAGGUCAUCUGGGAUUUCUUCAUCAAGGCAAUGAUCAUCCAACAUCAACUUUACUGGGCCAGUCACGUCAUCCAGAUAUCUGACUCCAUAUUCCCGAAGCAAGCUUUAUUCUCCCAGCUCAGUCAAGGUAUAUGCUUAAAAGGAGGGAAGAUAAAGCACUUCAAAGAUGUCUUUAAGGCCAACUUGAAAAAAAUGCUGCAUUGACAUCAGCUAGUGGGAGACUAUUGCCCAGGACUGCCCCAAAUGGAGAAAGAGUCUGCUGCAGGGAUCUCAGUACUUUGAAACCUAUGACAACAACAGGAGAUGGAGAAGUGGGAGCAGCAGGAACAGCAUGGUGUGGACUGAAAUCAGGAAUCCACAGCCACCCAGCCUGCACAGAAACAUGUACCCAAGUUGCUGCAGCCUGUUGAUCCCAGAUAGGCCUCAUCAGCCAUCUUUGGGUCCUCAGAUAAGACAAUCAUCCUCAACUGUGAGGGAUUUCCAGUUAUGGUGGUAAAGCUGUUAAGGUGUGUCUUGAUAGUGUUCCAGAGGCAUGAGUUUAAGUUUUGCUCUAUAUUGCACCAAAGGAUAACUCCAGUCAACCUAGCUAGAAACCCAGUUUGGGGAGUCAAAGGGAGUCAAAGGUUGCCAGGUGUGAUGCUGGCCACUUCACUCCCCUGUGUGCUGUUGACUGUAGAAUAGUGGUUCUCAACACCCCUCGUCAGACUUGAGGAAUCCCUCAGAAAAUGGUGGAUCUUAGGGCAUUUUUACAUAUACUGUGGCAGGCGGCCCUGGGCACUCUAAUUAGGAAGCUGUACUAAUUAAAAGCGCCUGCGUGUCACAUGUAUCAGCAUCCCCACACAUCCCCGCACUGAAAAAAUGGUGGUGUGGCUCUUUGAACUAAAGCCCAACGUGUUUUAUUUCAAAGCACCCCACCACCAUUUUUUCAGUAUGGAGACAUGGGGACGCUGAUGCACAUGACGCAGAAGGCUCAAUUAAUCGAUUAAUCGAGUCUGCUCCAACACACUGAAUUUCCAGGGCGUCAGAGCAGACACCACACACCUCUAUAGGAGCCCUUAGUUUUCACUUGUUUUUUUUAAACUAUGGAAAAAAUAAUUGAACAGUUUUUCUGUUGCACAGAACUCAGAAAGACCACAAUGGGUCAGAAUGUUUUUACCACUAUGGAUUCUUAUUUCAAAUGUCUGGGUUUACGUUGUGAACUGUGUUUGCACGUGUAACAGUAUUAACAUUGUGUGGCAUUCACUGGCACUCUGGAAAGGAGGUAUAGAAUCACUGCUGAAGAAACCAACCUGUCUUACAUAUUUCAGCCCGGUGGGCCAAUUAGACUCAGAUGGACCUUUAACUCUUUUGACCCCACAUUUCUGGAUUGACAGGAGAACCAGUUUAAAGUAUUUUAAUUUAAAUAAAUGGGGAAAAUUACAGAAUAUAUUAGUAUGUUUAGAUUUUCAUACUUUUUCUUAUCAGGUUGGAACUGCCAGCUCAUAUAUGUAUAUCUGCCCAUUUUCCUAUUUAGCUUUAGUGAUUUUUAUGACCGCUCAGGUGCAGCUCAAUCCAAUUUCUCUUUAGUGAGACUUCAGUAGAAGUUAGAGCAACUGUGUACAGCUUCAUUAUGCAUAAUGAAAUUGCAUUGUAUACACUAAAGCCUAGUUCUGAUAGGCUUGAUUUUGUGGCUAUAGGUCUCAGUUUUUAGAAAUCAAAACCACUCAUUGAUUCAGUGUUUAGAAAGUCUGCUUUGGUUGUUAGAAACUGGCACCUUCUGAAACCACUGAACCUCAACAGGAACAGCACAGACAAAAUUCUUUGUGUGUGGCAAGGCCACUGUGAACAGUGAAAUAGCAGUUCAGUCUCAAUCAAUCCCCAUUAUUCCUUGGUGGCUCAGCAGUUACCACCAACAGGGAUGCCACUUGUAACACAAUGAUUGACAUACUUACAGAAUGGCUUAUAGUUUCAAAAAACUGCUGCAUAAAUAUUAGUUCAUCCUUUCUUGGCGGGAGAAGAAUAAGUAUCUUUUCCCCAUGUGUACAUUGUGAACGCUGGGGAGAGAGGUUAAGUGACUUGUCCAAAGCCACAGAGCAAGAAUCAGAUUGGAAAUUGUGACUUUGUCAAGAGGAACAAAUGGUUGCUUGUAAGUGACACUGCUGCUCUGAGCACUAUGAGCAACCACUUGGAUCCCAUAUUUUUCAACCAGAGACACGUAAUGCCAGAAGAUGCAAGGAUAAUGGGAAAAUCUUACAGAAGCAUCUAUGGUACAGUGAUGUUGUAGCCAUAGUGGUCCAGGAAUUAUGAGAGGCAAGGAUUUUUGGGGGGUGAUAUUUUUUAUUAGACCAACUGCACUGUUGGAAUUUAUCACGCUGUAACUUUUUGUGCAUUACAUAAAGCGCUUAAAGUUACUGCAUCAUCAAAGCUAACAGACAUUGGGCGUUUGAUGGUGGGAAUUGUGGGAACUGAGUGCCUCCAUGUACUGGCAGAGGCCAGGAGGCACGGGUUGCUGUAGCCUGUUGUGGAAGCCAACCAGCCUGAUCCCCACCUAACCCGCCCCCCUCCACUUGCCAGCUAGCUGCAAAAAGUCAGCCAGAAUUAAUUCCCGGGGGGGGAGGGGGCAGCCUAAGGGCAGCUUGGGCACUGUGCCCCCUCCUUGCUGGUGCUUUGGGGCACCAGGGACCCUCUCCUACAAAAGAGCACAGCAACCCCCUUGGCUCUCCAGGGAACUAGUGGACA